CAGUCAUUACCGCGAGGCCAGCCCUCCUCACAACAGCAGCUGCCGCCUCAUGUUUCCUGGUAUUGUCGCUCUGAGUGGCUGCAAAACCGACAAACAGCUUUCCUCAAAAGCAACAGGUGUGCAAGGCCAAGUCGUUUAAAAGGUAUGACCAUCACGAAAGUCUAACCAGG